rnacentral:rRNA from 1 species
AGACGGAGGGCGCAAGCGUUGUUCGGAAUUACUGGGCGUAAAGGGCGGGCAGGCGGUUCGUUAAGUCGUUUGUGAAAAUCCGGGGCUCAACCCCGCGAAAUGCAAAUGAUUCUGGCGAGCUGGAGACCGGUAGAGGCUAGCGGAAUUCCUGGUGUAGCGGUGGAAUGCGUAGAUAUCAGGAAGAACACCUGUGGCGAAGGCGGCUAGCUGGGCCGGGUCUGACGCUGAACCGCGAAAGCGUGGGGAGCAAACAGGAUUAGAUACCCCGGUAGUCC